rnacentral:rRNA from 1 species
UACGAAGGGGGCUAGCGUUGCUCGGAAUCACUGGGCGUAAAGGGCGCGUAGGCGGCCAUUCAAGUCGGGGGUGAAAGCCUGUGGCUCAACCACAGAAUUGCCUUCGAUACUGUUUGGCUUGAGUUAUGGUAGAUGGUCGAGUGGUAACUGCGAGUGUAGAGGUGAAAUUCGAUAGAUAUUCGCAAGAACACCAGUGGCGAAGGCGGCCAACUGGACCAACACUGACGCUGAGGCGCGAAAGCGUGGGGAUCAAACAGG